AUGACAAAGGGCAAGGUUAUAUGUGAGACACAUCUCCGCAUUGUGUUUUACUCGCGGUUUUGGGAAUCAAGGAGAAACUUAGGAGUCUUAGGCUACGUGGACUUCUCUUCAGAGGUGACAGAUGCCUUGCAUAUCACUGAUGGAGCUCUGAUGGUGGUGGACUAUGUGUCUGGUGUGUGUGUGCAGACAGAAACAGUGCUGAGACAGGCCAUUGCUGAGCGCAUCAAGCCUGUGCUGAUGAUGAAUAAGAUGGACUGGGCCCUGCUAUAGCUUCAGCUGGAGCCUGAGAAGCUCUACUAGACCUUGUAGUGCAUUCUGGAGGAGAAUGUCAAUGUUAUCAUCUCUACCUAUAGCGAGGACGAGAGCAGACCCAUGAUUGACCCUGUCCUGGGCACUGUAUGCUUUGGUUCUGGCCUGCAUGGCUGGGCCUUCACUCUGAAGCAGUUUGCAGAGCCAAGCUAGCAUGGCUAAGUUAGCAGCCAAGGGUAAGGGCUAGCUUGGGGCAGCCGAGCUUGCCAAGAAAGUCAAGGAUAUGAUGAAGCUAUAGGGAGACCUGUACUUUGACCCAGCCAAUUGCAAGUUCAGCAAGUCAGCCAAUAGCCCAGAUGGGAAGAAAGUUCCCUGCACCUUCUUCCAGCUCAUCCUGGACUCCAUCUUCAAGGUGUUCAAUGACAUCAUGAACUUCAGGAAGGAGGAGACAGAUAGAAAAGCUGGAUAUCAAACUAGACAGCGAAGAUAAGUACAAGGAGGGCAAACUAUUGCUCAAGGCUGUUGUGUACCCCUGGCUGUCUGUGGGUUAUGCCCUUCUAUAGAUGAUCACCAUCCACUUACUGUCCUCUGUCACUGCACAGAAGUACCAUUGUGAGCUGCUAUAUGAGGGGCCACCUGAUGAUGAGGCUGCCAUGGGUAUUAAGAGCUGCAAUCCCAAAGGCCCCCUUAUAAUGAACAUUUUUAAGAUGGUGCCAACCUCUAACAAAGGCUGCUUCUCUGCCUUAGGUAGAGUGUUCUUUGGGGUGGUGUCCAUGGGCCUGACCGUCCAGAUCAUGGGCCCCAGCAACAUAACUGGGAAGAAACAAGACCUGUUCCUGAAGCCUAUCCAGAGAACCCUUCUGAUGAUGGGCUGCUAUGUGGAUCUGAUUAAGGAUGUUCCCUGUGGAAACAUUGUAGAGCUGGUUGGAGUGAACCAGUUCCUUGUGAAGACCGGGACCAUCACCACCUUUGGGCACGCUCACAAUAUGCACGUGAUGAAGUUCAGCAUCAUCCACUUCAGGGUGGCAGUGGAGGCCAAGAACCCAGUUGUCCUGUCCAAGCUGGUGGAGGGGCUUAAGCAGCUAGCUAAGUCUGACCCUAUGGUGCAAUGCAUCAUUGAGAAGUCUGGAGAGCUAGCUCUUCAUUGCUGGCAGUUGUGAACUACACCUGGAGAUCUGCCUUAAGUACCUGAAGGAGGAUCAUGCCUACAUCCCCAUCAAGAAAUCUGACCCUGUUGUACUGGGAGACAGUCAGUGAGGAGUGCAUAGUGCUGUGUCUGUCCAAAUCCCCCAACAAGCACAAUGGGCUAUACAUGAAGACCAGGCCCUUCCCUGACAGCCUGGAAGAGGACAUCAAUAAGGGUGAGGUGUCUGCCCACCAGGAGCUCAAACCAUGUGCCUGCUACAUGGCUGAAAAGUAUGAGUGGGAUGUUGCUGAAACCCACAAGAUCUGGUGCUUUGGCUCUGAUGGCACUGGUCCCAAUAUUCUCACCAACAUCACCAAGGGUGCGCAGUAUCUGAAUGAGAUCAAGGACAGUGUGGUGGCCAGUUUCCAGUGUACUACAAAGGAGGGAAUUCUUUGUGAGAACAUGUGUGAUGUCCAUGAUGUGAUCCUGCAUGCUUGAUGCAAUCCAUGGGGAGGUGCCCAGAUCAUCUCCACAGCACACCACUGCCUCUAUGCUGACUGCACAGCUCUGCCUAAUGGAGCCUAUCUAUCUGGUGGAGAUCCAGUGUCCUGAGCAAGUGGUGGGUAGCAUCUGUGGUAUCCUGAACAGGAAGUACAGCCAUCUAUUUAAGGAGUCCUUGGUGGCCAGUACCCCCAUGCUGGUGGUCAAGGCAUACCUGUCUGUCAAUGGGUCCUUUGGCUUCACUACCAACCUUCGAUCCAACACUGGUGGCCAGACCUUCCCCCAGUGCGUGUUUGACCAUUAGCAGAUCCUGCCUGGGAACGUCUUUAGCAACAGCAGCCACCCCAGCCAAGUGGUAGCUGAGACUCAAAAGCUCAAAAGCCUGAAUGAAGGCAUCCCAGCCCUGGACAACUUCCUGGACAAACUGUAG